rnacentral:rRNA from 1 species
CCCUUAGAUGUUCUGGGCCGCACGCGCGCUACACUGAUGCAUUCAACGAGCCUAUCCUUGACCGAGAGGUCCGGGUAAUCUUUGAAACUGCAUCGUGAUGGGGCUAGAUUAUUGCAAUUAUUAAUCUUCAACGAGGAAUGCCUAGUAAGCGUGAUUCAUCAAAUCGCGUUGAUUACGUCCCUGCCCUUUGUACACACCGCCCGUCGCUCCUACCGAUUGAGUGUGUUGGUGAGGAGUUUGGAUUGGCCUCGGAAGGUGGUUCGCCACCGUCCGUAGCUGAGAAGUUCUCCAAACCGCNCNACUUAGNGGAAGGAGAANUCGUANCA